UGGGGAAUAUUGCACAAUUGGGGAAACCCUGAUGCAGCGACGCCGCGUGAGCGAAGAAGGCUUUCGAGUCGUAAAGCUCUGUCCUAUGAGAAGAUAAUGACGGUAUCAUAGGAGGAAGCCCUGGCUAAAUACGUGCCAGCAGCCGCGGUAAUACGUAUGGGGCGAGCGUUGUCCGGAAUUAUUGGGCGUAAAGGGUACGUAGGUGGGUUUUUAAGUCAGGUGUCAAAGCGUGGAGCUUAACUCCAUUAAGCACUUGAAACUGAAAGACUUGAGUGAAGGAGAGGAAAGUGGAAUUCCUAGUGUAGCGGUGAAAUGCGUAGAUAUUAGGAGGAAUACCGGUGGCGAAGGCGACUUUCUGGACUUUUACUGACGCUCAGGUACGAAAGCGUGGGGAGCAAACAGG
rnacentral:rRNA from 1 species